rnacentral:rRNA from 1 species
UACGAAGGGGGCUAGCGUUGUUCGGAAUUACUGGGCGUAAAGCGCGCGUAGGUGGUUUGUUAAGUUGGAUGUGAAAGCCCCGGGCUCAACCUGGGAACUGCAUUCAAAACUGACAAGCUAGAGUAUGGUAGAGGGUGGUGGAAUUUCCUGUGUAGCGGUGAAAUGCGUAGAUAUAGGAAGGAACACCAGUGGCGAAGGCGACCACCUGGACUGAUACUGACACUGAGGUGCGAAAGCGUGGGGAGCAAACAGG